rnacentral:tRNA from 1 species
GCUACGGACUUAAAAUCCGUCGACUUUAUAAGUCGUGAGGGUUCAAGNNNCUCUAUCCCCA